AAGCGUUGUUCGGAAUUAUUGGGCGUAAAGCGCGUGCAGGCGGUUGCUUAAGUCUGAUGUGAAAGCCCUGGGCUCAACCCGGGAAGUGCAUUGGAAACUGGGCAACUUGAGUACGGGAGAGGAUAGUGGAAUUCCGAGUGUAGGGGUGAAAUCCGUAGAUAUUCGGAGGAACACCGGUGGCGAAGGCGGCUAUCUGGACCGAUACUGACGCUGAGACGCGAAAGCGUGGGGAGCAAACAGGAUUAGAUACCCUGGUAGUCCACGCCGUAAACGAUGGGUACUAGGUGUUGCGGGUAUUGACCCCUGCAGUGCC
rnacentral:rRNA from 1 species